rnacentral:rRNA from 1 species
GACGAACGCUGGCGGCGGGCUUAACACAUGCCAGUCGAACGGCAAGGCCCUGCUUUUGUGGGGUGCCCGAGUGGCGAACGGGUGAGUAACACGUGAGUAACCUGACCUAGACUUUGGGAUGGCUUCAGGAAACUAGGGCUAAUACCGGAUAGGAGCUGCUGCUGCAUGGAGGGGAUUGGAAAGUUUCGGCGGUCGGGGAUGGACUCGCGGCUUAUCAGCUUGUUGGUGGGGUAGUGGCUUACCAAGGCUUUGACGGGUAGCCGGCCUGGGAGGGUGGCCGGCCACAUUGGGACUGCGGUACGGCCCAGACUCCUACGGGAGGCAGCGGUGGGGAAUAUUGCACAAUGGGCGGAAGCCUGAUGCAGCAACGCCGCGUGCGGGAUGACGGCCUUCGGGUUGUAAACCGCUUUCGCCUGUGACGAAGCGUGAGUGACGGUAAUGGGUAAAGAAGCACCGGCUAACUACGUG